rnacentral:rRNA from 1 species
GUGGAUUAGAUACCCUGGUAGUCCACGCCGUAAACGAUGGAUACUAGCUGUUGGAAGCAAUUUCAGUGGCUAAGCGAAAGUGAUAAGUAUCCCACCUGGGGAGUACGUUCGCAAGAAUGAAACUCAAAGGAAUUGACGGGGGCCCGCACAAGCGGUGGAGCAUGUGGUUUAAUUCGAUGAUACGCGAGGAACCUUACCAAGGCUUAAAUGCAGACUGACCGAUUUGGAAACAGAUCUUUCGCAAGACAGUUUACAAGGUGCUGCACGGUCGUCGACAACU